UUGAGUAAAAAUCUUAUUUCGUGUUUAGAGUAUAUUUAAAUGAUGCUGAUAGUUUUCUAGAGGUAGUUAAACUUUAGAAUAAAUUUCUCUAAAGUUUUGGAAAUAUUUUUAUACUCAGAUUUGUCAACUGAGACCUUGCCGGCUACUCUGAGAGUUGUUGGAGAGCAAACUUAGACGAUUCUCCAUAACAAUUCGCAGGCAGUUGAGUAGAAAUCUGUUAUUUGAUUCAAGUCUCCACAUAUUUCUUUUGGUAGGCCUCUUUGAUUGAGGACCAUUUUUGUAACGUCUGUUGAGUCUAUGUAAUUUGCAGCUAUUUUGGAGUCUAGCAAUUUUUUUGGAAAUUGUAUUAAACGAUUAGAUUAUGUUCUUUGAAUUGAGACUGAAUUGAGAAUUUAACAGGGAUUUUAUA